UCGGCCGUCUCGCGUUUGAUUUGACGGUCAUAGGUCGCUCAAUGGUUGGCUGGCGCGACCUUCUACUGGGGUUUGUUAGACUCAGUAUAGUAGUGUAACGAAUAUUACUGAACCUACGUGUACUUUAGACUG